GAUGAACGCUGGCGGCGUGCCUAAUACAUGCAAGUCGAGCGAACAGACGAGGAGCUUGCUCCUCUGACGUUAGCGGCGGACGGGUGAGUAACACGUGGAUAACCUACCUAUAAGACUGGGAUAACUUCGGGAAACCGGAGCUAAUACCGGAUAAUAUAUUGAACCGCAUGGUUCAAUAGUGAAAGACGGUUUUGCUGUUACUUAUAGAUGGAUCCGCGCCGCAUUAGCUAGUUGGUAAGGUAACGGCUUACCAAGGCAACGAUGCGUAGCCGACCUGAGAGGGUGAUCAGCCACACUGGAACUGAGACACGGUCCAGACUCCUACGGGAGGCAGCAGUAGGGAAUCUUCCGCAAUGGGCGAGAGCCUGACGGAGCAACGCCGCGUGAGUGAUGAAGGUCUUCGGAUCGUAAAACUCUGUUAUUAGGGAAGAACAAAUGUGUAAGUAACUGUGCACGUCUUGACGGUACCUAAUCAGAAAGCCACGGCUAACUACGUG
rnacentral:rRNA from 1 species